AUGGCUCUUUGAUAUAAAAGCAUGUUGAGUCUAGCCUGCCCAGUGAUAUUUAUUUAACGGCCGCGGUACUUUGACCGUGCGAAGGUAGCAUAAUCAUUUGUCUUAUAAUUGAAGUCUGGAAUGAAUGGCUGAACAAGAGCUAAGCUGUCUCUAACUAUAUAUUAAAACUUUAUUAUCAAGUUAAAAAGCUUGAAUUAAAUUAAAAGACGAGAAGACCCUAUCGAGCUUUAGGGUUCAUUUAAAUUUUUUACAUUUAUGCAAAAAUAACAUUAAAAAUAACUUUAGUUGGGGCGACUCGAGAACAGAAAAAGCUUCUUGUGUUAACAAAAAACGAUGGUUGACCCCUUGUAUUAGGAUUAAAAGAAUUAGUUACCGUAGGGAUAACAGCAUUAUCUUUUUUGAGAGCUCAAAUCGAAAAAAAGGCUUGUGACCUCGAUGUUGGACCAAGAUAUCCUAAAGAUGUAGAAGUCUUUAAAGGUUGGUCUGUUCGACCAUUAAAAUCUUACGUGAUCUGAGUUCAGACCGG
rnacentral:rRNA from 1 species